rnacentral:rRNA from 1 species
GAUGAACGCUGGCGGCGUGCCUAAUACAUGCAAGUCGAGCGAACGGACGAGAAGCUUGCUUUUCUGAUGUUAGCGGCGGACGGGUGAGUAACACGUGGAUAACCUACCUAUAAGACUGGGAUAACUUCGGGAAACCGGAGCUAAUACCGGAUAAUAUUUUGAACCGCAUGGUUCAAAAGUGAAAGACGGUCUUGCUGUCACUUAUAGAUUGAUCCGCGCUGCAUUAGCUAGUUGGUAAGGUAACGGCUUACCAAGGCAACGAUGCAUAGCCGACCUGAGAGGGUGAUCGGCCACACUGGAACUGAGACACGGUCCAGACUCCUACGGGAGGCAGCAGUAGGGAAUCUUCCGCAAUGGGCGAAAGCCUGACGGAGCAACGCCGCGUGAGUGAUGAAGGUCUUCGGAUCGUAAAACUCUGUUAUUAGGGAAGAACAUAUGUGUAAGUAACUGUGCACAUCUUGACGGUACCUAAUCAGAAAGCCACGGCUAACUACGUG